rnacentral:rRNA from 1 species
GCCCGCUCAGAAACUCAAAGGAAUUGACGGGGGCCCGCACAAGCGGAGGAGCAUGUGGUUUAAUUCGAUGAUACGCGAGGAACCUUACCUGGGCUCGAACGUAAGAUGACUGUAGGUGAAAGCUUACAUCUCUUCGGAGCAUUUUACGAGGUGCUGCAUGGUUGUCGUCAGCUCGUGCCGUGAGGUGUCGGGUUAAGUCCCAUAACGAGCGCAACCCCUACCUUUAGUUGCCAUCAGGUUAAGCUGGGGACUCUAAAGGAACUGCCUACGCAAGUAGUGAGGAAGGCGGGGAUGACGUCAAAUCAGCACGGCCCUUACGUCCAGGGCUACACACGUGCUACAAUGGUCGGUACAAAGGGUUGCCAAGCCGCGAGGUGGAGCUAAUCCCAUAAAACCGAUCGUAGUCCGGAUCGCAGUCUGCAACUCGACUGCGUGAAGUCGGAAUCGCUAGUAAUCGUGAAUCAGAAUGUCACGGUGAAUACGUUCCCGGGCCUU